GACGAACGUUGGCGGCGUGCUUAACACAUGCAAGUCGAACGGAAAGGCCCUGCUUUUGUGGGGUGCUCGAGUGGCGAACGGGUGAGUAACACGUGAGUAACCUGCCCUUGACUUUGGGAUAACUUCAGGAAACUGGGGCUAAUACCGGAUAGGAGCUCCUGCUGCAUGGUGGGGGUUGGAAAGUUUCGGCGGUUGGGGAUGGACUCGCGGCUUAUCAGCUUGUUGGUGGGGUAGUGGCUUACCAAGGCUUUGACGGGUAGCCGGCCUGAGAGGGUGACCGGCCACAUUGGGACUGAGAUACGGCCCAGACUCCUACGGGAGGCAGCAGUGGGGAAUAUUGCACAAUGGGCGGAAGCCUGAUGCAGCAACGCCGCGUGCGGGAUGACGGCCUUCGGGUUGUAAACCGCUUUCGCCUGUGACGAAGCGUGAGUGACGGUAAUGGGUAAAGAAGCACCGGCUAACUACGUGCCAGCAGCCGCGGUGAUACGUAGGGUGCGAGCGUUGUCCGGAUUUAUUGGGCGUAAAGGGCUCGUUGGUGGUUGAUCGCGUCGGAAGUGUAAUCUUGGGGCUUAACCCUGAGCGUGCUUUCGAUACGGGUUGACUUGAGGAAGGUAGGGGAGAAUGGAAUUCCUGGUGGAGCGGUGGAAUGCGCAGAUAUCAGGAGGAACACCAGUGGCGAAGGCGGUUCUCUGGGCCUUUCCUGACGCUGAGGAGCGAAAGCGUGGGGAGCGAACAGGCUUAGAUACCCUGGUAGUCCACGCUGUAAACGGUGGGUACUAGGUGUGGGGUCCAUUCCACGGGUUCCGUGCCGUAGCUAACGCUUUAAGUACCCCGCCUGGGGAGUACGGCCGCAAGGCUAAAACUCAAAGGAAUUGACGGGGCCCCGCACAAGCGGCGGAGCAUGCGGAUUAAUUCGAUGCAACGCGUAGAACCUUACCUGGGUUUGACAUGGAUCGGGAGUGCUCAGAGAUGGGUGUGCCUCUUUUGGGGUCGGUUCACAGGUGGUGCAUGGCUGUCGUCAGCUCGUGUCGUGAGAUGUUGGGUUAAGUCCCGCAACGAGCGCAACCCUUGUUCACUGUUGCCAGCACGUUAUGGUGGGGACUCAGUGGAGACCGCCGGGGUCAACUCGGAGGAAGGUGGGGAUGACGUCAAGUCAUCAUGCCCCUUAUGUCCAGGGCUUCACGCAUGCUACAAUGGCUGGUACAGAGAGUGGCGAGCCUGUGAGGGUGAGCGAAUCUCGGAAAGCCGGUCUCAGUUCGGAUUGGGGUCUGCAACUCGACCUCAUGAAGUCGGAGUCGCUAGUAAUCGCAGAUCAGCAACGCUGCGGUGAAUACGUUCCCGGGGCU
rnacentral:rRNA from 1 species